rnacentral:rRNA from 1 species
UGAAAUUUAAUAAAUUUUUAAGAAAGUAAAUAAAAAUAAAACUAGGACUAGAUACCCUAUUAUUUUUUAGUUGUAUUAAAGUAGUAAAUUAUAAUAACAAAACUUAAUUUUUUUGGCGGUUUUCUAUAUAUUCACAGGAACUUGUAUAAUUAAAAAGAUAACCCACUUUUAAUUUUACCUUUUUUAUUUUUUUGUACGGUUGUUAGAUAAAAAUUUAUUUUUUUUUCUCAAAAAAUAAAAUAUUUUUAAUUCAGAUCAAUGUGAAGAUAAUAAAAAGGAUUAUAUGAGUUACAAAAAUUAGAAAAAUUAAUUUCAUAAAUUUUUAAAAAUGGAUGUGAAACGUAAAAAUUUAAUAAAAAUAAAUUUUGGAUUAUUCCUAGAAAAAGUACAUAUCGCCCGUCACUCUUAUAAAUUAGAUAAGUCGUAACAAAGUAGAAAUACUGGAAA